rnacentral:tRNA from 1 species
GUUUUUAUAGUUUAAAAAAACAUUGGUCUUGUAAACCAAAGAUAAAUUAUUUUUUAAAAACU